GACGAACGCUGGCGGCGUGCCUAACACAUGCAAGUCGAACGGAGAAUAAGAGCUUGCUUUUAUUCUUAGUGGCGGACGGGUGAGUAAAGCGUGAGCAACCUGCCUAACGGAGGGGGAUAACGUCUGGAAACAGAUGCUAAUACCGCAUAAAGUACAUAGUUCGCAUGAACAGGUGUACGAAAGGAGCAAUCCGCCGAUAGAUGGGCUCACGUCCGAUUAGCUAGUUGGUGGGGUAAAGGCCUACCAAGGCAACGAUCGGUAGCCGGGCUGAGAGGCUGAACGGCCACAUUGGGACUGAGACACGGUCCAGACUCCUACGGGAGGCAGCAGUGGGGAAUAUUGGGCAAUGGGCGAAAGCCUGACCCAGCGACGCCGCGUGAGGGAAGAAGGUCUUCGGAUUGUAAACCUUAGUCAACAGGGAAGAAGCAAGUGACGGUACCUGUGGAGGAAGCCACGGCUAACUACGUG
rnacentral:rRNA from 1 species